UACGUAGGGGGCAAGCGUUGUCCGGAAUCAUUGGGCGUAAAGCGCGUGUAGGCGGCUUGGUAAGUCCGCUCUGAAAGCCCGGGGGCUCAACCCCCGGGAGGCGGGUGGAUACUGUCAAGCUCGAGUCCGGAAGAGGCGAGUGGAAUUCCUGGUGUAGCGGUGAAAUGCGCAGAUAUCAGGAGGAACACCAAUGGCGAAGGCAGCUCGCUGGGACGUUACUGACACUGAGGCGCGAAAGCGUGGGGAGCGAACAGG
rnacentral:rRNA from 1 species